rnacentral:rRNA from 1 species
UGAGGAAUAUUGGACAAUGGUCGGAAGACUGAUCCAGCCAUGCCGCGUGCAGGAAGACGGCCUUAUGGGUUGUAAACUGCUUUUGCAGGGGAAGAAUAAGGAGUACGUGUACUUUGAUGACGGUACUCUGCGAAUAAGCAUCGGCUAACUCCGUGCCAGCAGCCGCGGUAAUACGGAGGAUGCGAGCGUUAUCCGGAAUCAUUGGGUUUAAAGGGUCCGUAGGCGGGCUGAUAAGUCAGAGGUGAAAGCGCUUAGCUCAACUAAGCAACUGCCUUUGAAACUGUCAGUCUUGAAUGAUUGUGAAGUAGUUGGAAUGUGUAGUGUAGCGGUGAAAUGCUUAGAUAUUACACAGAACACCGAUAGCGAAGGCAUAUUACUAACAAUUUAUUGACGCUGAUGGACGAAAGCGUGGGGAGCGAACAGGAUUAGAUACCCUGGUAGUCCACGCUGUAAACGAUGGAUACUAGCUGUUUGGAGCAAUCUGAGUGGCUAAGCGAAAGUGAUAAGUAUCCCACCUGGGGAGUACGCACGCAAGUGUG